rnacentral:rRNA from 1 species
AUUGAACGCUGGCGGCAUGCUUUACACAUGCAAGUCGAACGGUAACAGGCCUUCGGGUGCUGCCGAGUGGCGAACGGGUGAGUAAUGCGUCGGAACGUGCCCAGAGGUGGGGGAUAACGCAGCGAAAGCUGUGCUAAUACCGCAUGUGAUCUGAGGAUGAAAGCGGGGGACCAAGCAGCAAUGUUUGGCCUCGCGCCUCUGGAGCGGCCGAUGUCAGAUUAGGUAGUUGGUGGGGUAAAGGCCUACCAAGCCGACGAUCUGUAGCUGGUCUGAGAGGACGACCAGCCACACUGGGACUGAGACACGGCCCAGACUCCUACGGGAGGCAGCAGUGGGGAAUUUUGGACAAUGGGCGCAAGCCUGAUCCAGCAAUGCCGCGUGCGGGAAGAAGGCCUUCGGGUUGUAAACCGCUUUUGUACGGAACGAAAAGGCUCUGGCUAAUACCUGGGGCUGAUGACGGUACCGUAAGAAUAAGCACCGGCUAACUACGUG